CCAGAUCUCCUCUUCCAGGGACCCCUCCACCAACGUAUCCAUCUUAGUCUUUGGACGAUUCAACGGCAGUGGCAUCGAGGGAGUGGGAGAGGAUCGUCUCCAUCUCUGGAUGAUUCGGUGCUGGUGGCAUCAAGGGGGUGGGAGAGGACCGUCUCCGUCUUCGGAUGAUUCGGCGGUGGUGGCAUCGAGAGGUGGGAGAGGAAGAGUGAGAGGAGAAUCGAUCGGGGCCUGUAAUCAUGAGGGACUUUUAAUCACCCAC
rnacentral:lncRNA from 1 species